rnacentral:rRNA from 1 species
UACGUAGGGUCCGAGCGUUGUCCGGAAUUAUUGGGCGUAAAGAGCUCGUAGGCGGUCUGUCGCGUCGGCUGUGAAAAACCUGGGGCUCAACUCCAGGCCUGCAGUCGAUACGGGGCAGACUAGAGUUCGGUAGGGGAGACGUGGAAUUCCUGGUGUAGCGGUGAAAAUGCGCAGAUAUCAGGAGGAACACCGGUGGCGAAGGCGGGUCUCUGGGCCGAAACUGACGCUGAGGAGCGAAAGCGUGGGAGCGAACAGG